GGGGAAUAUUGUACAAUGGGGGAAACCCUGAUGCAGCGACGCCGCGUGGAGGAAGAAGGUCUUCGGAUUGUAAACUCCUGUUGUUGGGGAAGAUAAUGACGGUACCCAACAAGGAAGUGACGGCUAACUACGUGCCAGCAGCCGCGGUAAAACGUAGGUCACAAGCGUUGUCCGGAAUUACUGGGUGUAAAGGGAGCGCAGGCGGGAAGACAAGUUGGAAGUGAAAUCUAUGGGCUCAACCCAUAAACUGCUUUCAAAACUGUUUUUCUUGAGUAGUGCAGAGGUAGGCGGAAUUCCCGGUGUAGCGGUGGAAUGCGUAGAUAUCGGGAGGAACACCAGUGGCGAAGGCGGCCUACUGGGCACCAACUGACGCUGAGGCUCGAAAGUGUGGGUAGCAAACAGGAUUAGAUACCCUGGUAGUCCACACCGUAAACGAUGAUUACUAGGUGUUGGAGGAUUGACCCCUUCAGUGCCGCAGUUAACACAAUAAGUAAUCCACCUGGGGAGUACGACCGCAAGGUUGAAACUCAAAGGAAUUGACGGGGGCCCGCACAAGCAGUGGAGUAUGUGGUUUAAUUCGACGCAACGCGAAGAACCUUACCAAGUCUUGACAUCCCUUGACGGACAUAGAAAUAUGUUUUCUCUUCGGAGCAAGGAGACAGGUGGUGCAUGGUUGUCGUCAGCUCGUGUCGUGAGAUGUUGGGUUAAGUCCCGCAACGAGCGCAACCCUUAUGGUCAGUUACUACGCAAGAGGACUCUGGCCAGACUGCCGUUGACAAAACGGAGGAAGGUGGGGAUGACGUCAAAUCAUCAUGCCCUUUAUGACUUGGGCUACACACGUACUACAAUGGCGUUAAACAAAGAGAAGCAAGACCGCGAGGUGGAGCAAAACUCAGAAACAACGUCCCAGUUCGGACUGCAGGCUGCAACUCGCCUGCACGAAGUCGGAAUUGCUAGUAAUCGUGGAUCAGCAUGCCACGGUGAAUACGUUCCCG
rnacentral:rRNA from 1 species